rnacentral:rRNA from 1 species
GACGAACGCUGGCGGCGUGCCUAAUACAUGCAAGUCGAGCGGACGGAUGGGAGCUUGCUCCCUGCCCGUCAGCGGCGGACGGGUGAGUAACACGUGGGCAACCUGCCUGUAAGACUGGGAUAACUCUGGGAAACCGGGGCCAAUCACGGAUAACUCUUUCCCUCCCCUGAGGGCAAGCUGCAAGAUGGCAUCUCGCUAUCACUUUCAGAUGGGCCCGCGGCGCAUUAGCUAGUUGGUGAGGUAACGGCUCACCAAGGCGACGAUGCGUAGCCGACCUGAGAGGGUGAUCGGCCACACUGGGACUGAGACACGGCCCAGACUCCUACGGGAGGCAGCAGUAGGGAAUCUUCCGCAAUGGACGAAAGUCUGACGGAGCAACGCCGCGUGAGUGACGAAGGUGUUCGGAUCGUAAAACUCUGUUGUCAGGGAAGAACAAGUACCGGAGUAACUGCCGGUACCUUGACGGUACCUGACCAGAAAGCCACGGCUAACUACGUG